CUCGCUGUUGAUUCAUAUCCUUUAAUAUCCUUUGUAAUAAAUCAGCAUCUAGUGAGUAAACAGGUCUCCUGGGUCCCGUGAGCCACUCUAGCAAAUUAAUUGAACCCAAGGAAGGGAUUGUGGGAACCCCACCUGAUUUACAAUCAGUCAGAAGCACAGGUAACGGCCUGGACUUGCGAUGGCACCUGAAGUGAGGGCAGUCUUGUGGGAUGAGCCCUCAACCUGUGGGAUCUGAUGCUAUUUCUGGGUAGGUAGUGUCAGAAUUGAGCUGAAGUGUAGGACACCCAGCAGGUAUGGGAGAAUUGCUUGACGGUGUGGGGAACCCCUGCCUGCAUCCCCACACAGUGAAAGUGGUUGCAGAACCCCUCCUGAUGACAGAGAGGGGGUUUAGCUAGGUAAAUCUAAUUUUUGCAUUUUUCUUUUCCUUUUCUGUUCUUAUCUCAAUUGGGGCAAGGGUUGGCUGUGAUUCUCAUCAUCUUACCAGAUUUAUAAAGCUCAUACACAUACCACCUUGUUUCUUGUAAACUGAUUGCAUCUUUGCUGCAGGUUUCGUAUAAAUAAUUCCCUUUGACUCUGGAGAGGACUGGAAGAGAAACUUCCAGAAACCAGAAUUGAGUUUGUUAUUGUUUUCUGUUUGCCAUUAGCAGAGCUUCUUGGGAGUCCGGCCCUUUAUAGAAUGGAUCCAAAUCUCAGCCACCUUUACCAGUUUCCACCAUCCUGGUCACUAACGAGAGGACGAAGAACAGGUGACAUUCCUUAUUGCCACCUUCUAAUUUUGCGCCACUAACACUGCAGACAGGGCUGUCUGGCGUCAGGCUCCGCCAGACUCCUCCCUCAGCUCAAAAACACCGUUGUGGCAAGAGAACAUUUCUUCUGGUCUUCCCGAGUCCGGGACCUGUCCUCUCCUCCAACAGCGGGAUCCUGCCAGGAGCGCCUCUUCAGUGCAGGGAGAAGGACCCUGCAGCAACUCGGGGGACAUUUGGCUGAUUUUACCAAGAAGGCCGGUCCCUCCAACCUGACCUCAUGACUUGGCCCUUGGCCCUCAUCUCAGCCCAGCUAGAGUGCCUCCAGAUUCCCAGCGAGGAGGCCUUCCUGGCGGCACCAGAGGU
rnacentral:lncRNA from 1 species